rnacentral:rRNA from 1 species
UGUAGCAAUACAGGUGGCGCACGGCGCACGGGUGCGUAACACGUGGGUAACCUGCCCUUUGGUGGGGAAUAACUCCGCGAAAGCGAAGCUAAUUCCGCAUAAGAUCCGCAAGGAUGAAAGCCGAAAGGCGCCGAUGGAGGGGCCCGCGCACGAUUAGCUAGUUGGUAGGGUAAUGGCCUACCAAGGCUUUGAUCGUUAGCUGGUCUGAGAGGAUGGCCAGCCACACUGGAACUGAGACACGGUCCAGACUCCUACGGGAGGCAGCAGUGGGGAAUCUUGCACAAUGGGCGAAAGCCUGAUGCAGCGACGCCGCGUGGGGGAUGAAGCUUUUCGGAGUGUAAACCCCUUUCGAUCCGGACGAAUGCCCGCAAGGGAUUGACGGUACGGAUAUAAGAAGCCCCGGCUAACUACGUGCCAGCAGCCGCGGUAAUACGUAGGGGGCCAGCGUUGUUCGGAAUUACUGGGUGUAAAGGGUUCGUAGGCGGUGCGGCAAGUUGGGAGUGAAAUCUCUGGGCUUAACCCAGAGGCUGCUUCCAAAACUGCUGUGCUUGAGUGUGAGAGAGGCUCGUGGAAUUGCAGGUGUAGCGGUGAAAUGCGUAGAUAUCUGCAGGAACACCCGUGGCGAAAGCGGCGAGCUGGAUCACUACUGACGCUGAGGAACGAAAGCUAGGGGAGCAAACAGGAUUAGAUACCCUGGUAGUCCUAGCCCUAAACGAUCAGGACUUGGGGUGGCAUCCGUUCGGGUGUCGUCCCGGAGCUAACGCGUUAAGUCCUGCACCUGGGGAGUACGGUCGCAAGACUGAAACUC